GGCACCUGCCCUGUGCUGGCCCCUCCUGCAACAAUCGGGAGCCCUCACCUCAGUCGGCGCUGCAGAACCAGCCCAGGAGAGCAGCUGGCCUGUCAUCUGCUGAGGAGCGGAGGCGUGCGGGGAUCCGGAGGGGAAGGGGGUCUGGAGUGCUCCGGGGGAGACCCUCAGGGACUGCCCUGCUGCUGGCAGCGCCUGGGCCCACGGCUGAUGGAGGCGUCUCCUGGCCCCCAGGGCUGUGCCCAGGACUGCAAUGGCCUCCCACACUACCUCACUACCCUGGUCCAGGCUCACUGACAGAUGAGGAAACUGAGGCAGGGGCCCCGGUCUCACGGCCAUUGGUGCAGAGCUGGGAUCCACGACCAGGUGGGCUCUUUGUUAUUACUUCCUCCAAGGACAAGCCCAGGUUCUCCAGGGUGUGGGGUCCACGUGUGGCCACAGCGGGCCUUAGAGACAGACAGGCCUGGGUAGGGGGAGGGGUGGGUGGGCAAGGCCUUAGAGACAGGCCUGGCGGGGGAGGGGCCGGGCCUGUGCACUGGCAGUGGUGGCACCACGGGCCCUUGGGGACACCAAGUGAGCUCUUUAAAGUGGCUAAAGUGGUAAACCUUGUGUUUUGUAUAGAU